rnacentral:ncRNA from 2 species
CUCUUAUCCAGAGUGGCGGAGGGACUGGCCCUAUGAAGCCCGGCAACCGCCGGCCGUGCCGUCGCGGCCGGUAAGGUGCCAACUCCUGCAGGAUCCGGACGGGUCCUGAGAGAUGAGAG